rnacentral:rRNA from 1 species
CCAGACUCCUACGGGAGGCAGCAGUGGGGAAUAUUGCGCAAUGGGGGCAACCCUGACGCAGCCAUGCCGCGUGAAUGAGGAAGGCCUUCGGGUUGUAAAGUUCUUUCGGUAGCGAGGAAGGCAUUUAGUUUAAUAGACUAGGUGAUUGACGUUAACUACAGAAGAAGCACCGGCUAACUCCGUGCCAGCAGCCGCGGUAAUACGGAGGGUGCGAGCGUUAAUCGGAAUAACUGGGCGUAAAGGGCACGCAGGCGGUGACUUAAGUGAGGUGUGAAAGCCCCGGGCUUAACCUGGGAAUUGCAUUUCAUACUGGGUCGCUAGAGUACUUUAGGGAGGGGUAGAAUUCCACGUGUAGCGGUGAAAUGCGUAGAGAUGUGGAGGAAUACCGAAGGCGAAGGCAGCCCCUUGGGAAUGUACUGACGCUCAUGUGCGAAAGCGUGGGGAGCAAACAGGAUUAGAUACCCUGGUAGUCCACGCUGUAAACGAUGUCGAUUUGGGGGUUGAACUUUGAGUUUGGCGCCCGUAGCUAACGUGAUAAAUCGACCGCCUGGGGAGUACGGCCGCAAGGUUAAAACUCAAAUGAAUUGACGGGGGCCCGCACAAG